ensembl:lncRNA
CUCGUUAGGACAGAUAGGAGAGCUGAUGAAAAAGCAGAUACAACUGUUGCGAAUGAUUCGGAGAAUGUAUAAAAGACAACUGUGUAUUGGAGAUUGGAAUCUAUGUUUCUUUAAGGAUUAGGAGAGUAUGUCACAAUGUGUAGCUUCAAACCAGCUGGCAUCCAGAUUUUGUCACCCUCGUAUAAGGUUAUCCCAACAGGCCCGUUCAGACUCCACUGAAGUUUGCUUAGGUAAUGACUGGGGAUUUUUUUCUCUAUCUAUGGAUUUUGUCCGGAGGAAGAAGGGAGCAGCCAUCAGUGGGCUCCCAGUAUUGCCCUGAGUAGAAUGUUUGGCCCGCACAUAUGAAAGUAAGAUAGCAUUACUCCUUAAAAGAAGUGGCAAAAUCUGGCCUGUAGAUAUCACCACUAUUUUCCACUGAUGCAGAGCAUUGGUCAUAAGCCAGCAGAAGAAGCUGCCAACCAAAACGUUUUCUUAAAAGGGAACACUGUUAGAAGCCUGGCAGUAAAUGUUUUUCUUCCCCUGAAGUAUGUGCCGAACACAAAUAAAGAAGACUCAAAAGAAGAAUCUGGUGAGGUUUAACAUCUUGUAAUCACAUGGAUGGAUUUGUUGAGGUUUUUAACACUUUGUUCUAUAAUAAAUUAGCAAUACUCUUCAGUUAAGCAGUGAUUAAGCACUAAAACGACAGAUAAUGCAGUUGGAUAAAUACAUUAAAAAAGCGGCAGUAUGACAGGAAAAUGCAAACACAGUGAAUUCUUUGUUGGCUUAAAAUUACUUUGCUGUUCUGCCACUUUCUUUGUUUCUUUAGGAUGGUGUUUUUUUGCUUGCAAACCAAAACAUCAGGUGACCGCCAGCCACGGGUGCGCAGAGGAGCUGUCUCCCAGGAUGUAGCUGCAGCCUGUAAGCCCGGCCUUACGGCAGCAGUCAGAAUCCACGUGGCCGAUUGUUCUGCAGACAUAAUAGUGCUGUAUUUAUGUAUCUCUAAACUUGUUUUUCAGGAUCAGCGGCUGCCUGCGUAUCAUGGAGCUUGCUGCUUAACAACAGAAAUAAAGCACUUGUCAGACAGAAGCGAUGCAUCAGUGCGGAGUGGAAUUCUCAGGACUAAAGUUUAUGUGAGGCAACAACAAAAUCCACUGUGCCAUUCUCUUAGGCAACAAAGGAGGAAGAAAACACCUUGUUAGCAUCUGUCAGGAUGAAUGCCAUUUUACAUCAAGAAACUGCUGACGAUGAAGCAGCCCGGCCAGGUGCCGCACAGGGGAAGCUCACAGUGCUGCUAAAGUCAGAAAUAGCCAGAUGAAGAAACACCUCUUUAAUGUUCAGCUGAAUAAAGCAUUGCACGUGGAACUGCAUGGAACUUGUGCCAUUUCCAUCAGCAUCUUGCCAGGACAUGAAUGCGUAUAAUCACUGAAAACCCAAUUUAAGAAUAAUUUUCACAUGUGAGGACUGAGGUUUGGUAUGGCUGCAGGAGGACUUGUGGAGUCCAGUGCUUUAGGUCUUGGCUUUGCAGUCUUUGAGGUACUGCGUUAGGGCCUUGUCUGGCUCAGGAUGGUGGAACUGACAUGUUUGCAGGAGGCUUACCGUCUCUUUGGUCUUUGUGUGCAUGGAAAUAAAUCAGGACAUGUCCAUAGCUCUUGAUUUUAAUGGCUAAAACUCAUGCAUUUGUAGAUCCUCCCUUAACCUGCUUGCAACAUCUACAGCGUAACAGCUCAGGCAGAAACCGACUGAAAAUUAGUAGAAGUCCUCCCAAAUCCAUUUGCAUUUUUUUGUUUGUUUGUUUUUCUUUUCUUUUAAUGUCGGUGCUAUGUAUUGACAGUAUCUCCUGCACAGCUGGGUUCAGGAGCACAGUGCUGCCUUUUCCUCUGGCCAAUGACUAUAUGGUAACAGUGUGUUUAAUGGCGUUACACAAUUACAAUUGGGCAAGCGUGGACAAGUUCGAAAUGCGGAACACCACCGAGGCAAUAUCUUGUGGGCUUCGCAGGAACAUCGCCACGUUCUCACUUCUUAACAGAAAGCACGUAAAGGGCUCCCGGCUCCUUUGCUUGCUCAGAUAAUGAAGCAAAACCUCCUGUUUCAGUAAGCCGUGUUCCAGGAAAACUGCUCUCCUCGAGGUGUCUGAUGAGAGUAAAAAAAAGAGCCAAGAGAAUAAAGGCACGGCUAAUAGCGGUGGGAACACGAGGGAUGCAGGGAGGUGGGGAGGGAGAGGCAUAGGGCUGUCAGGAUCUGAAGAAUGCUAAAUGCACUGAUAAGUGAUGGUGAGGCAAGAGGAAACUGCGGUGGGCAGGGCAGACAGCUGCCUGCAGCCUGGGACACCCUGCUGGGCCAGGGGAUACUCCAGGAUUUCUUUGCAGCAACGGUAAAAAAAAGCUGAGUGAGUUGGAUCCGUCUGCCCAGCAGUCGGUGCUUAUUUCUGCUGCUGUGGGCUUUGGUGCCACAGCCGGGUUCUGUGCUCGGGGAGCAGCCCUGCGGAGAGGGCAUCUGCUGGAGGCGAGCAGGGAAGUCUUGGCCGUGUCCUGGGGGUGGGAAUCAGGAACUGUCGUGGGGACGCUGCUCUGAGAAUUGGAGCCAUAGGGAACCUUCAGCGCUGGUCGUUCUCUGGCUGUGAUGUGGCACACGAGCUCCCGUGGUGCAGGUUAAUCGUUUUGCUUCAUACCAGCGUCAGAAGGAAGCAGCUUCCUUACAAAGCAUGGCUUAACCUACAGAUACCACAAAAACGGCUGCAGCGAUGCUGCCAAAAGGCAGUCAGGAUGAGCUGCCACUCUCAAAGUCCGUGAAUUUUGAUGUGGAUAUAAAUGCAAAGGGACUGCACAUCUCUGGGACCGACUGCUUCGGGGUACAUCAUAAAGUCUGGAACAGAGCUGUUCCUCCUCAGCUGCUGUUGUGUUUCACUGCAGCUGCUCUGGAGUUACAUAGCUGUUGGGUGGGUGUUUCUCUUGUGGUUACUGAACCACCACUUCCACACCCAGAAGCGAUCCUUGUAUCUUCAGUACUGAAAGAAACCGGCAGGAUAUGGUCUUUUUCCUUUAAGAACGCAGUUGUUAAGGAGAGGAAAAGCCGUGAGAAGCUCUAUUUCAGCCUGGGUUAAUUCACCCAUCGCAUCUGUCCUGCAGAAACGGAGCUCCGAUCAGCAGCGAGGCAGAGGCGACAGGGGGAGCAGCAAAGGGCAGGGAGGGUGGGCCAGAGGGGCUGUCGAGGCGGGCACCGGCUGCGGGGCACCUCCGUGAAAGCUGUCUGGGGCGGGGCGGGGCGGGACGGAGGAGUGCCUCCGCUGGGGACAAUGUCCUCGGGAGGGGACGGCCGGAGACGCCCGGCUCUGCUCCGCUGCGGGUGGGGCCGGGCUGGGGAGGGGGAGGAGGAAGGGGAGGAGGCGGCCGAGCCGGG